GCAUUAAUGGGGUAGUGGUAACCUGGGUCGUUGCCAUUCGAGUUGAUUCUCGACCCGCCGGGGGUUCGAUUCCCUCUUAAUGCA